rnacentral:rRNA from 1 species
GGUGAGUAACACGUGAGCAACCUGCCCUUCACUCUGGGAUAACCUCGGGAAAUCGGGGCUAAUACCGGAUAUGAGCUCCUGUCGCAUGGCGGGUGUUGGAAAGUUUUUCGGUGAAGGAUGGGCUCGCGGCCUAUCAGUUUGUUGGUGAGGUAGUGGCUCACCAAGGCGAUGACGGGUAGCCGGCCUGAGAGGGCGACCGGCCACACUGGGACUGAGACACGGCCCAGACUCCUACGGGAGGCAGCAGUGGGGAAUAUUGCACAAUGGGCGAAAGCCUGAUGCAGCGACGCCGCGUGAGGGAUGACGGCCUUCGGGUUGUAAACCUCUUUCAGCAGGGAAGAAGCGAAAGUGACGGUACCUGCAGAAGAAGCGCCGGCUAACUACGUGCCAGCAGCCGCGGUAAUACGUAGGGCGCAAGCGUUGUCCGGAAUUAUUGGGCGUAAAGAGCUUGUAGGUGGCUUGUCGCGUCUGCCGUGAAAACCCGAGGCUCAACCUCGGGCGUGCGGUGGGUACGGGCAGGCUAGAGUGUGGUAGGGGAGACUGGAACUCCUGGUGUAGCGGUGAAAUGCGCAGAUAUCAGGAAGAACACCGAUGGCGAAGGCAGGUCUCUGGGCCAUUACUGACACUGAGAAGCGAAAGCAUGGGGAGCGAACAGGAUUAGAUACCCUGGUAGUCCAUGCCGUAAACGUUGGGCACUAGAUGUGGGGAACAUUCCACGUUUUCCGCGUCG